rnacentral:sRNA from 1 species
UACUGGCCAAAUCUCAAGUGAUUGAGAACGGAGGACCCACUAUUUAUGGGGUUAAUUCUGCAUUUGCAGAAGGGAUGAGACACUCUUUCGCCAUCCUACCCGUCAGCUAACUUCGUCGGCUAAAGCGAAGG